UUUUAGUAGAGUUUGAUCCUAGCUCAGGAUGAACGCUGGCGGCGUGGAUAAGGCAUGCAAGUCGAACGAUCCGUGUGUUUACAUACGGAGAGUGGCAAACGGGGUAGUAACAGGUAGGAACAUACCCAUGAGUCGUGAAUAACUGCGAGAAAUCGUAGCUAAUACACGAUAUCCCUACGGGGGAAAGAUUUAUCGCUCAUGGAAUGGCCUGCUUCAUAUCAGCUUGUUGGUAGGGUAACGGCCUACCAAGGCAAUGACGUGUAGGGGAGGUGAGAGCCUGACCCCCACCAUUGGGACUGCGACACGGCCCAAACUCCUACGGGAGGCUGCAGUCGAGAAU
rnacentral:rRNA from 1 species